GUUGUACUCCCUCCGUUCGGAAUUACUUGUCGCGAAAAUGGAUGUAUCUAGACGUAUUUUAGUUCUAGAUACAUCCAUAUUCGAGACAAGUAAUUCCGAACAGAGGGAGUAGGUG
rnacentral:pre_miRNA from 1 species